rnacentral:rRNA from 1 species
UGGGGAAUAUUGCACAAUGGGGGAAACCCUGAUGCAGCGACGCCGCGUGAGCGAAGAAGUAUUUCGGUAUGUAAAGCUCUAUCAGCAGGGAAGAAGAAAUGACGGUACCUGACUAAGAAGCCCCGGCUAACUACGUGCCAGCAGCCGCGGUAAUACGUAGGGGGCAAGCGUUAUCCGGAUUUACUGGGUGUAAAGGGAGCGCAGGCGGAUGGCUAAGUCUGAUGUGAAAGCCCGGGGCUCAACCCCGGGACUGCAUUGGAAACUGGUUAUCUUGAGUGUCGGAGAGGUAAGUGGAAUUCCUAGUGUAGCGGUGAAAUGCGUAGAUAUUAGGAGGAACACCAGUGGCGAAGGCGGCUUACUGGACGACAACUGACGCUGAGGCUCGAAAGCGUGGGGAGCAAACAGGA